AACCAGCACCAGCACCACAGAAUCUCAGACGCUAAAUCAGCCCACAGGAGAUUUACCUACAACCUGUAUAAACAAUGGUAAAUCUAAUGAUACAACAUUCUCCACACCAUUCCCGACAUCACCAUUCGGCUUUACUCAGUGGUGGAUAUGGCUAGCGUUGGCAGUUGGAUGCGUAGUACUUCUGGUGUCAAUUGUUGUCAUAUGCAUCUUGACACGCAAACCUGAAGACCUCAUUUAUGAGAACACCAAACCAGUGGAAUCGAGCUGCUGGAGGCGAAACCGGACUAAGACGGACAUCUGCGACCUGCCUUCAUCCAAAAAAACCGACACCAUUAAACCGCUGAGGAAGUACGACACUCUUUCAAGCAACAGAAUCCGAAGGCCCUAAGUAUAUGAAAGAAUUACCCUCAGAAAAGACAUUAAAUAUAUCAAAUACCUUACUGUACACACAUAUUUAAUUUUAUAACGUAGCAUUUCCUGAAAGACGGGAAGCUGUAAAUAUAAAGCUGUUUUUUUUUCUUUCUUUUAGAAAGAGAUUCAUGAGAAAAUCUGAUUUUUUUCCUUUAAUGACUUUCAACUGUAUCAUACCGAAACAUUCUGUGGUUACAAAUAAAUGUGAAAACCACCAAAAAGAAAAAA